UUGAACCCGCUGAAUACGAGGGCGAGGAAACACUAGUCCACCCCAAACAUGCCUAGCAUGGGCGGGUUUCGCACCUUCUGUCGGCAUAACACACACUCGACACAAUUAUCACUAGGAAAGACCUAAGGGACAAGACUCCAACCCAAAACUAAACAAUAUAUAGGAGUCUACGACAAUAUCAACCAAUACUCGUAUUCCACCCUAUAUGGCAUAGGACCCGUAGUAUCAAUAUCACAACCAGGAGAGCGGCCUAUAUGGCCAAGAUCCCUAAACAACAACAUUAUCAC
rnacentral:lncRNA from 1 species